rnacentral:rRNA from 1 species
UGGCGGACGGGUGAGUAACGCGUGGGUAACCUGCCUCAUACAGGGGGAUAACAGUUAGAAAUGACUGCUAAUACCGCAUAAGACCACAGCACCGCAUGGUGCAGGGGUAACAACUCCGGUGGUAUGAGAUGGACCCGCGUCUGAUUAGGUAGUUGGUGGGGUAACGGCCCACCAAGCCGACGAUCAGUAGCCGACCUGAGAGGGUGACCGGCCACAUUGGGACUGAGACACGGCCCAA